AUGGAGCUUUCCGUGCUUCAGAGAAGACUGGGGGUUUUUGGCUUCUUGGUUCGAGAUCAUCUGGGAUGUGGAGUUCUUGCGGAAGCUGCACGUCUGACUUAUGUACAUGAUGCUAUUUCAGUUGAAGCGGAGGCUUGCCUGGCAGCCCUUCCAGCUGUUGUAGCGCAUGGUAUCACAUCUAUCCUGGUGGAAUCUGAUUUAUCUGUGCUAAUUUCGGCUCUUCAGACUAAUGAGUAUGCCUCUGCUCCUGGUGGGUCCAUCUUCAGGGAGAUCAAAGUCCUUGUUCAGGUAGAUUUUGCCAAUGUUGAGUCUGUUUUUGCUCCUCGUGCUUGUAGUACGGCGGCCCAUGAACUAGCCCAACGUGGUUGGAUUGUGAUACCACUGAUCCAGCUUGGUAAUAAAAUGUCAGUGUUGAAGAUCAAAAAAGAUGAUCGAUCGACCUUUACCCCUCCUCCUGUUCCAACUUCCAACCCAUCCUCGCAUGAGACAGUGCAGGCCGACGCGAGGAGAUUCGCCGGGUUCAUCCAACCAGCACGUGAGACGCCGGUGUUUGCUGGAACUUUCCGUCGCCGUGAAGCACACGCGUGUCGAUUCGCGUCGAUCCGCCCGCUGCCGAAGCGACGUCCGGUCGCUGCGGCGCGCGAUUCGCUCGGUAGUCACUCACAAGAUCAGAGCUGUUGCGGUGCGGAGCUUUUGCUUGGACCAAAGAUAAAAAGGCAAAAUCUUCUCUUGCUCUAAACGGUACUCC
rnacentral:lncRNA from 1 species